CUCGGCCCUUCCACGGGAAACGUGGGGAAACGCCGGCUAGAGAGGGGGACCGCGGAGAGAAGCGGGACCACGGGAAGAAGCAGCCUCUCCGUGUCGGCCCGCCGGGCACCCUCUCUUGUAACCAAGCUUGGAGCCACCACCCAGCACCCACAGGCAGGAGCCAGCCCCGUACACCUCCCUGACCUGUGGGUUAUUACAUCUCCCAACCUGUGGGUUAUUACGGCUCCCUUACCUGUGGGUUACACCUCCUCAGGCCGCAGCAGCCACGGACAAAGCUCUCAGUCACUUCCCCUCAGUGCUUGCUUGGAAACCAUUUCUCUGUUGGCGUUUGACACGUUCGGACGUGACCAGGGCACUUCCAUCACUCGCCCCGUUGAGGAGGCAGAGGAAGAACAUCUGAGCGUCCCUUGAAGCUCGGAGGGCUGUGUGACUGAGGUCACUGUUCAUCCCGUGCUUCUGUUUCUAUUCCACCAAAACUCUCACUUAGGCAAAUGCAGCCCAAAGUCCUGGAAGCUCCCCCUUCUCGGCUUUACUCUGGAUGACUUCUCCGAGCCAGUGUCUGAUGUCUGAAAUGCAAUCGCAGUUAUGAAGGUUUGUAUACAAGGCCAUGAACUGUGGGUAACAACGGAGCCACCACCAUUGUAAGAAAAAAAAGACGGAAUAAUGAGAUUAUCGCAGUUUAAAUUACUAAGCAACAGUUUCUCUGACAAUGAACUUAGUAACACUCUGCCAUCUAUUUAAUCACGCUAAUGAGACAGAACAACUCCACUUAGAUACAAAUUACUCUGCAUUUCAUUUAAAUAAGGGUCAGGGAGCUAAAAGCCACACAAGCCACCACACUUCUGCUGUACAGCACAUCCAGCAAAAGACCUCCUUUGUUUCCAGAAUGGACCCAGGCUUUCUGGCCAUGAGCUGCCAAGGCAGGGCUGCACAGGGCAUCUUGCUCAAACCUCCCACCUCCGCUCCCCAACUGCCUGUGUGUGGGCCCAGAGCCUCUCUGGCUUGGGAACAGCUCCUUGGUUUGGAGAGGCUGACAGUUGAAGCCAAGCAGCGCGGCUUGUUGAGAGUCUUCUCAUUUAUCCGGCUGGUGCCAUCAUGAUCAUCUUAAUAUUAAAAUCUGGUUUGGUAUGUGUCUCUCACAAUUUAAAACUGAUGACUUCCCUUGGAUAUUUAAAAAUUUUGUUUCAAAUCCAUGCCUCUUGGGCUGAAGCUGGUCGUGAGAGAGCAGGUCUGUAAUAAACUGAAGAAAAUUGACUGGCAGUUACGACUGGAUUAUUCACACAUGCUAGUAGUCUUAAUCUUUAUUUGGAAGCCCAGAGCUGGCCCAGGGCUCACAUCUGAUAUAUGUUCCCUGGCCAGAGGGAGAGGGGAGCUAAGGUGACAUCCCAUGGGGCCCUUUCCCAGUGGGUAGCUGCAUGAUCCCUCCAGAGGCCAGGAAUAUUCCCACAUGCUCACAGCAGCAUUAGGUUUCCUCAAGCCUCACCCCUUGCUGCACUUCUUUCCGUUCCUCCUAAUUAGCGGGGGAGUAAUUCCAGGCUAUGCAAGUCAUUCAGCAUCUCCUCCCUCCUCCACGAUCAGCUUCCCCAGUACAGUUCAUGCCUGUAAUAAGAUGUCAGCCUCGAGCUCAGCUUGGCAAGCCUUUCAUUCCCGCACUGCUCUUGCCUGCACAUGGGUCCUACUCACUUCCUAAACUUCCAGCCCCCCAUCCCAUCAGCUCUAGGAUGAACCUCCAGCUAGCUGUGCUCCCAGACACACAAGGCAGGCUGAUCCUCUGGCUGCAUGGCUGUCCAGGUGACCCCACAGCACUUCUUGAGAGCAUUUCACUCUGAGCAGUGGCGUGAGGCCAGUAUAAGGUGCUUUAGCUGCAGGAGCCAUUGCAACAGCAACACAGCUCAACCCUCCUCCUCACCUAGACAAAGGAGAUGAAGCAUUUAAGCCGGUGAGAAUCUGCUCCUGCAGGCAGUUUCUCCCACUGCCAAAACCAUUCACAAAAUAAACAGGCAACAAACAUUC